rnacentral:rRNA from 1 species
GGAACGGCCACGGAACACGGGGAUAACCUACCUAUAAGACUGGGAUAACUUCGGGAAACCGGAGCUAAUACCGGAUAAUAUUUUGAACCGCAUGGUUCAAAAGUGAAAGACGGUCUUGCUGUCACUUAUAGAUGGAUCCGCGCUGCAUUAGCUAGUUGGUAAGGUAACGGCUUACCAAGGCAACGAUGCAUAGCCGACCUGAGAGGGUGAUCGGCCACACUGGAACUGAGACACGGUCCAGACUCCUACGGGAGGCAGCAGUAGGGAAUCUUCCGCAAUGGGCGAAAGCCUGACGGAGCAACGCCGCGUGAGUGAUGAAGGUCUUCGGAUCGUAAAACUCUGUUAUUAGGGAAGAACAUAUGUGUAAGUAACUGUGCACAUCUAGACGGUACCUAAUCAGAAAGCCACGGCUAACUACGUGCCAGCAGCGCCGGUAAUCACC